CACGUAAGUUGCGAGCGUUGUUCGGAAUUAUUGGGCGUAAAGGGCAUGUAGGCUGUUUUGAAAGCUUGGUGUGAAAUCCCGCAGCUUAACUGCGGAACUGCAUUGAGAACUACAAGACUAGAGUUACUGAAGGGAAACUAGAAUUCCAAGUGUAGGGGUGAAAUCUGUAGAUAUUUGGAAGAAUACCAAUGGCGAAGGCAAGUUUCUGGCAGAUAACUGACGCUGAGGUGCGAAGGUGCGGGGAGCAAACAGGAUUAGAUACCCUGGUAGUCCGCACAGUAAACGAUGUACACUAGGUGUUUGACCAUGAGGUUGGGUGCCAAAGCUAACGUGAUAAGUGUACCGCCUGGGAAGUAUGCCCGCAAGGGUGAA
rnacentral:rRNA from 1 species